rnacentral:rRNA from 1 species
UUUUGACCUCGGAUCAGGUAGGGAUACCCGCUGAACUUAAGCAA